rnacentral:rRNA from 1 species
GUCUACAGCCAUAUCACCUUGAAUGCACUUGAUCUCAGAAGCUAAGCAGGGUCCGGCCUGGUUAAUACUUGGAUGGGAGCUACGUAACGGAAAACAUGCUGACAGUCA